UACGGAGGGGGCUAGCGUUGUUCGGAAUUACUGGGCGUAAAGCGCGCGUAGGCGGACCUGCAAGUCGGGGGUGAAAGCCCGAGGCUCAACCUCGGAACUGCCUUCGAUACUGCGGGUCUCGAGUCCGGAAGAGGCGAGUGGAAUUCCCGGUGUAGCGGUGAAAUGCGUAGAUAUGUGGAGGAACACCGAUGGCGAAGGCAGCCCCUGGGUCGAAGCACUGACGCUCAUGCACGAAAGCGUGGGGAGCAAACGGG
rnacentral:rRNA from 1 species